AGAGUUUGAUCCUGGCUCAGAGCGAACGUUAGCGGCGGGCUUAACACAUGCAAGUCGAGCGAGAAAGGUCCCUUCGGGGGCCAAGUACAGCGGCGGACGGGUGCGUAACACGUAGAUAAUCUACCCUCGGGCGGGGGAUAACGUUCCGAAAGGAAUGCUAAUACCGCAUAAGACCACCCUCACUACGGUGAGAGUGGGAAAAGAUGGCCACUCCAUGGAAGCUAUCACCUGAGGAUGAGUCUGCGUCCCAUCAGCUUGUUGGUGAGGUAACGGCUCACCAAGGCACACACGGGUAGCUGGUCUGAGAGGAUGAUCAGCCACACUGGCACUGAAACACGGGCCAGACUCCUACGGGAGGCAGCAGUGGGGAAUAUUGGACAAUGGGCGCAAGCCUGAUCCAGCUACGCCGCGUGAGUGAUGAAGGCCUUCUGGUUGUAAAGCUCUGUGGGGAGGGACGAAAACGGCAGGGAACAAUACCCCUGUCCUUGACGGUACCUCCCUAACAAGCACCGGCUAAUUCUGUGCCACCGGCCGCGGUCAGACAGAGGGUGCUCACGUUGCUUGGAAUUACUGGCCGUAAAGCGCGUGUAGGCUGACCUUGUAGUCAGGUGUGAACUCCCUGGGCUCAACCUACGAAGUGCAUCUGAAACUGCCAUUCUAGAGUGUUGGACAGGGAAACGAAUUCCUGGUGUAUAAGUG
rnacentral:rRNA from 1 species